AUUCUACAUGUACAGUCAAAAUAAAUGAAACAUGUGGUUGAACCUUGGCUUUCAGGGGCCUAAUAUGGAAUUCAACUAGUAGCUACCGGUAAACAUUGUUUUUAAAGUUGUUGGGUUCCCAUUAUACCCACAGCAGCAUGAUAUAUACAGUUCCGUACAAA